rnacentral:lncRNA from 1 species
UGGCUCGUUUAGUGAGCUUCACAUCGUCUUGUCUCAACUCCUAUGGUUUGUGGUUCGGCCCAAAUCCCAGAGAGCUCGGCCCACCAUUUUACUGGGCUUGGGUUCAGCCUAAACUGUGAGGUCCCUUUAGCCUGUCAUUGCACGCAGCUUGGCUCGGUCCAACUUCCUUCUCUGGUCUGGCCCGACCAAACCAAACCAUCGAAUCCGAACUGUGGCUUUAUUUAGCUUGGUUUGUCUUCUUGAUGUGGCUUCGUCGAACAAAGCCCCUUGUUGGGCUCCGCUCCUUUUGAUGAAGUUGACUCGAUAAAGCCCACUCAUACUUAUUAAUUUUCGGCAGUUGAACUCGUUAGGGUGAAUACCGAUCCCAACAAAGCUCAACAACUUUACUCAAGACAGAGACAUGUCAGCCUUACACGCAGAAACAAAAUAGAAAGUAAAGAAACACGUGUUAGUCUGCAUGUUGAAAGCUUCGCCGGCCGACGCUCCCACCAAGUCAGCGAAUCCACCACCGCACGAUACCAGUUUGGUCGAGGAUUUCAGAUGAAUAAGCAACAAACCUCCCAGCACCACCAUACCUCCUUCAACAGAAACCUAUAUGAAAUCCCAAAUGGUUGAAAGCUUCUCGCCUUACAAGGAUUCAUUUCUGGUCGUCUCUAGCCUACGCCUUGACCCUUGAUUAAGGCUCUUCAAAAGGGUAUUUCGGGAGAUACAACUCCCAGUCACGAGAAACAAUACCAAACUUGGGAGAGAGUUUCCGCCAUCAUCGACGCCUCAUGCAAGAGGAGUAAAUCUGUAGAAGAAAAAACUCUGAAACAGAAACCUUUUGCUCACUCACCAGAGACAAAAUCAAUUCUUUAGAUUUGGUGAGAAUCUUCACUCUACUAAGGAUUAGUGAAGAACAUCUCUCACAAAAGGAAGAAUCGAUCUUAUUUUAUAAGAAAGUCACUCGGCCCCAAGUAAAGGAAUUCCAAGAAUCAGAAAACGAAAUCCGUUAAAAUGAAAACUAUUAAUCUGACUAGAAGAAAUAUAAAC